GCCCCCUUGGUCCAGCGGACACGACACCGGCCUACGAAGCCGGGGACCCAGGUUCGACUCCUGGAGGGGGCA
rnacentral:tRNA from 1 species